CUACGGGAUGCAGCAGUGAGGAAUAUUGCACAAUGGAGGAAACUCUGAUGCAGCAACGCCGCGUGGAGGAUGACGCAUUUCGGUGUGUAAACUCCUUUUAUAUGUCAAGAAAAUGACGGUAGCAUAUGAAUAAGCACCGGCUAACUCCGUGCCAGCAGCCGCGGUAAUACGGAGGGUGCAAGCGUUACUCGGAAUCACUGGGCGUAAAGGACGCGUAGGCGGGAUGUCAAGUCGGGUGUGAAAUCCUACAGCUUAACUGUAGAACUGCACUUGAAACUGGUAACCUAAAGUAUGGGAGGGGGAGAUGGAAUUAGUGGUGUAGGGGUAAAAUCCGUAGAUAUCACUAGGAAUACCUAAAGCGAAGGCGAUCUCCUGGAACAUAACUGACGCUAAGGCGUGAAAGCGUGGGGAGCAAACAGGAUUAGAUACCCCAGUAGUC
rnacentral:rRNA from 1 species